UACGGAGGGGGCUAGCGUUGUUCGGAAUUACUGGGCGUAAAGCGCGUGUAGGCGGCAGCGCAAGUCGGGCGUGAAAUCCCACGGCUCAACCGUGGAAGUGCACUCGAAACUGCGCAGCUAGAGUCCUGGAGAGGAAGGUGGAAUGCUUGGUGUAGAGGUGAAAUUCGUAGAUAUCAAGCGGAACACCGGUGGCGAAGGCGACCUUCUGGACAGUGACUGACGCUGAGACGCGAAAAGCGUGGGGGAGCAAACAGG
rnacentral:rRNA from 1 species